UGCGUAGGUGGUUGUGUAUGUCGAAUGUGAAAGCCCAUUGCUUAACAAUGGAAGGUCAUUCGAAACUGCAUAACUAGAGUACAGGAGAGGAGAGCGGAAUUCUUGGAGUAGCGGUGAAAUGCGUUGAUAUCAAGAAGAACACCGGUUGCGAAGGCGGCUCUCUGGAAUGAUACUGACACUGAGGCACGAAAGCUGGGGGAGCAAACAGGAUUAGAUACCCUGGUAGUCC
rnacentral:rRNA from 1 species